rnacentral:lncRNA from 1 species
AAAAAGUAAGCUAUCUAUUUCAAUUGAUUAAAACUAAAUUUAUUUUUUAAAUAUUUAUCUUUAAAGAUAAAAUGAUAGCUUAUUUGAAAUAUUUUGCAUGAUAGUUUUAAGAGAAGAAUUUUCAAAUUCAUUUUUCGAUAUCAAUCAAUCAAAAUAAAAUAUGAGUGUUCAUUAAUAAAUUCUCUUUUGAGAUCAAAAAUGAUUUCUUAAUAUCAAUUAUUAUUAAAAAUUGAUGAUCAAAACAUGUAAAGUAUGCACAUUUGCUCAAAAUGAAUCAAGUAAAUUCAAGGAGGGAAACUAGAUAAAGGCUCGGUAGUUAAGUUUUAACUAGGAGAACAUUUAAUCUUUAAGAGUUAAACUAAAAUCUAGUGUAAAUCAUCAAGUAUGUAAUCUUUUAUUACUUAAUAACUUAUAUUGAUGUUCUUGGAAUCAUGAUUAAAUAUUUUAUGAGAAUGUCAAAGAUUUAGUUGAAAGUUUUGCACCCAAAUAUUUUACAUACAAUCAAACUCAUUUUAAUUUAAGUUUCACAAGUAGUGUCAUUUUAUGAAGGGUUUGAGAGCAUGUUAGAUUUAAAACUUAAGUUUCUAUCAAUAUGAUACUAGGAUUAAGAGAGCAUGCAAAUAAACAAUAUAUUCAAACAUGCAAUGAGAAUUCAUCAUGAUAACAUGCAUAUGUAUGAAGCAUCAAAAUCAAUCAUUCAAAUAAAAAUAUAUCAAAAAUUUGUGAUGGUAUAAUGUGAGAAAAGUUUAGUUUUUAUCGAGCAAUAUCAUCCAUUCAUCUUAAGUCCUAAGUAUCCAUUUUCAGAAUUUUCACUUUUAAUGCCCUUGGAUGCUUAGGCAAAAUUAUUUCAUAACUUUUGAUAUCCAAGCCAUCUUGGGUCCAUAGGAGUUAGAGCACAUAGUUUCUUUUGGAAUCCAAAUUUGUUUAAUUAAAGUUUGGCCAAUUCUUUUAAAAUUGCAUUCCAAAAUUUUGUGACCUACUUUAUUAUAUUGGAAGCAAACAAUAAAAUUAUUUUUAGGUGAAGC